rnacentral:rRNA from 1 species
UACGUAGGGUGCAAGCGUUAAUCGGAAUUACUGGGCGUAAAGCGUGCGCAGGCGGUUGUGCAAGACAGGUGUGAAAUCCCCGGGCUUAACCUGGGAACUGCACUUGUGACUGCACGGCUGGAGUACGGCAGAGGGGGAUGGAAUUGCGCGUGUAGCAGUGAAAUGCGUAGAUAUGCGGAGGAACACCGAUGGCGAAGGCAGUCCCCUGGGCCUGUACUGACGCUCAUGCACGAAAGCGUGGGGAGCAAACAGG